rnacentral:rRNA from 1 species
UACGGGGGGGGGCAAGCGUUGUUCGGAAUCACUGGGCGUAAAGGGCGCGUAGGCGGCGGGGUAAGUCUGGUGUGAAAUCUCGGAGCUCAACUCCGAAAUUGCACUGGAUACUGCUCUGCUAGAGGGCUGGAGAGGAGAUCGGAAUUCACGGUGUAGCAGUGAAAUGCGUAGAUAUCGUGAGGAAGACCAGUGGCGAAGGCGGAUCUCUGGACAGCUCCUGACGCUGAGGCGCGAAGGCUAGGGGGAGCAAACGGG